CAGCGGGGCCCGGAACGUGCGCCGCCCGGGCCGAGGAGGGGACUGGCCGAGCUGGUGGAGGAGAGCAGGAAAACGUGGGGGAGGUGCUGGCGAGAGAAAGACAACUUGCGUGAGGAGGAGGAGGAGAAACCAAAUUUAACAUUUGGCGUGGAAAUGGGAUUUUUUUUUUUUUUUUUUGCAUCCUCCAAGCAAGUAAAGUGAAAUCAAUCAACAUUAUCCUCUCUCCCCUCAGCAAGUGAGGAUUACUUUCUCCUUGGGUAAAGGAAGAGAACUGAAGCAGGCAGAAAAUGUGGCUAAAUGAUUACAGCUCUGCAGCAACCGGUGUCUCCCACCCCCAUGAAGGAACACUUUUUAAUUGAAUGGACCACCGAAUCUAUUUUUAAAGGCAAGACAGCAAGAAUGAGGGACAGGAAACAGAGG